rnacentral:lncRNA from 10 species
UAUAUUUUUAGUAGAGAUGGGGUUUUACUAUGUUAGCCAGGAUGGUCUCGAUCUCCUGACCUUGUGAUCCACCCGCCUUGGCCUCCCAAAGUGAAACUUUUCUUUAAAAUAGAGAUGGGAUCUUGCUGUAUUGCCCAGGCUGGUCUCAGACUCCUUGCCUUAAGCAGUCCUCCCACCUCAGCCUCCUAAAGUGCUGGGAUUACAAGCGUGAAGCAUUACAUCCAAGUGAAACUUCUUGAGAUGGUUACAUAAUGUCUAAAUCUGCUGGUGUAGAAGUUAAUAAAGUGUAGAACUGAAUAAAUAUUAAAUAUUAGAUCAAGUUUCUCAUGUUUAUCUUAACGUAUAACGAUUUAUCUUAAAGCACUGAUUUUCACAAAAUAACAUCAGUGUGAAAUUGGAAAAGAAGCCAAAUAUUUUAUUUCAUGUAUCUGGGAAAUGAGGUGCUUUAGUCAACUGAAUCUGCCCAAAACUAAAAAGCAUUAAUUAAAAAGUACUUAACUCAGAAAUUAUAAAAAUAGCAGACAUCAAUAAAAUACAUUCUACACAGAAUACGCCAACCAUACACUACUCUUUUUUGAUAAUAAAAAAUGUAUUUACUGAGCCAGUUGUGGUGGCUCACGCCUAUAAUCCCAGCACCUUGGAAGGCCAAUGAGAGUGGAUCAGUUGAGGCCAGGAGUUUGAGACCAGCCUGGCCAACAUGGUGAAAUGCCGUCUCUACUAAGAAUACAAAAAUGAGCCGGGCACGGUGGCACGCACCUGUAAUCCCAGGUACUCCGAAGGAUGAGGCAGGAUAAUUGUUUGAACUCAGGAGGUGGAGGUUGCGGUGAGCCAAGAUCACGC